rnacentral:lncRNA from 1 species
AAAGAAACAUUAUGCGCUGAAUGUUAUUGUUUAUGAGCACAUUUUGACAAUAACAAUGAGUAAUAACUAAUUCUAGCUCUGCUAUAUAGCUUAUUUUUGCUUCUCUGAAUCAAGCUCUAUUUCUUUGUCUUAUUGAGCUCUGUGUGAUAGCUUAUCAGUCUCAUCUGAUCAAUUAUAUUCUGAGAUUAUGAGAAAUUUGCAUCCGAUGCUUGCUAUUGAAAAAAAA